GGUGCAGAUCAGUGGUAGAGUACUUGCCUGAUAUGCAUGAGGCCUUGGGUUCAAUUCCUAGCAUCA
rnacentral:tRNA from 1 species